rnacentral:rRNA from 1 species
GACGAACGCUGGCGGCGUGCUUAACACAUGCAAGUCGAACGAGAGCGUAGAGAAAGCUUGCUUUUUCUACAAUCUAGUGGCAAACGGGUGAGUAACGCGUAAUCAACCUGCCCUACGGAUGGGGACAACAGCUGGAAACGGCUGCUAAUACCGAAUACGUUCCGAAAGUCGCAUGACUAUCGGAAGAAAGGAUGGCCUCUAUUUAUAAGCUAUCGCCGGAGGAGGGGUUUGCGUCUGAUUAGCUAGUUGGAGGGGUAACGGCCCACCAAGGCGACGAUCAGUAGCCGGUCUGGGAGGAUGAACGGCCACAAUGGAACUGAGACACGGUCCAGACUCCUACGGGAGGCAGCAGUGGGGAAUCUUCCGAAAUGGGCGAAAGCCUGACGGAGCAACGCCGCGUGAGUGAAGACGGCCUUCGGGUUGUAAAGCUCUGUUAUACGGGACGAAUAAUCUUGUGGUUAAUACCCAGGAGAAGUGACGGUACCGUAAGAGAAAGCCACGGCUAACUACGUG